GAUAGAGGCCUACCAUGGUGGUAACGGGUAACGGGGUGUUAGGGCACGACACCGGAGAGGGAGCCUGAGAAACGGCUACCACAUCCAAGGAUGGCAGCAGGCGCGCAAAUUACCCAAUCCCGACACGGGGAGGUAGUGACAAUAAAUAACAAUACGGGGUUCUUUCGGAUCUCGUAAUUGGAAUGAGUACAAUUUAAAUCUCUUAACGAGGAACAAUUGGAGGGCAAGUCUGGUGCCAGCAGCCGCGGUAAUUCCAGCUCCAAUAGCGUAUAUUAAAGUUGUUGCAGUUAAAAAGCNNNUAGUUGAAUUUCGGGGUUAGUAGGUUGGUCAUGCCUCUGGUAUGUACUGGUCUCACUGAUUCCUCCUUCCUGAUGAACCGUAAUGCCAUUAAUUUGGUGUUGCGGGGAAUUUGGACUGUUACUUUGAAAAAAUUAGAGUGUUUAAAGCAAGCUAACGCUUGAAUACAUUAGCAUGGAAUAAUGAAAUAGGACGUUCGAUCUUAUUUUGUUGGUUUCUAGGAUUGACGUAAUGAUUAAUAGGGAUAGUUGGGGGCAUUAGUAUUCAAUUGUCAGAGGUGAAAUCCUUGGAUUUAUUGAAGACUAACUACUGCGAAAGCAUUUGCCAAGGAUGUUUUCAUUAAUCAAGAACGAAAGUUAGGGGAUCGAAGACGAUCAGAUACCGUCGUAGUCUUAACCAUAAACUAUGCCGACUAGGG
rnacentral:rRNA from 1 species